rnacentral:tRNA from 1 species
GGCUGGCUAGCUCAGUCAGUAGAGCACGAGACUCUUAAUCUCAGGGUGGUGGGUUCCUGCCCCACACAGCUG